AGUGAACGCUGGCGGUAGGCCUAACACAUGCAAGUCGAACGGCAGCACGAGAGAGCUUGCUCUCUUGGUGGCGAGUGGCGGACGGGUGAGGAAUGCAUCGGAAUCUGCCUAUUUGUGGGGGAUAACGUAGGGAAACCUACGCUAAUACCGCAUACGUCCUACGGGAGAAAGCGGGGGGAUCUUCGGACCUCGCGCAGAUAGAUGAGCCGAUGCCGGAUUAGCUAGUUGGG
rnacentral:rRNA from 1 species